AUCUGACAUUUUCUGUCCCCUGGCUCUCCCAGCAGGACCCAUGUGCCACAGCACCCUCAUCAUCCUGGUGGCAGCUACUCUCUCUAACUCCAACACAAGCCUUCCCUGAUGGAUUUUCUGCACCGUUUUGUAGCCUGGCUGUUUUAUUUUUUAAUUUUCCCGCUCUGACUGGAGGCUGACGGGGUCUGUCUCCUUUCUGCCCGCCCAGCCCCAGCGGAUUUCGGUUGGAGCAGUUUAACGAACGUGGCCUCAUUGUGCUGCAUUGUUUUUGUGGGUGCCUGCACCUUUCAAACCAGCCCCAAUUAGUAGAGCGGGGGAGAGGAGGGGGGGGGGGGGGAAGAAAGGAAGUAAAUAGAGGCAAAAUGAUUCAGUUUUCAGCAAACGUGCAGCCUGUUUGUCAGACAGAUGGAGCCACGCAGUGGAUGGCUUUGCUGCAGCCUGGCCCCCGAGCAGCUUUUGUAACUGGGUGCUGUCACCCUGAGCAGAGCUCUACCAGAAGUUUGGCCAACAAGAGAAAAGCAAACACAAGAUGAACUUGGAGAUAUGAAAUCUGGAGCUGCACCUGUUGCAAACAAGGUUAUUCUGAAGCUGGGUGUCAUUGCACACUUCAAUAAUGAAGCAGCAGCAGAAGGUCCCACUAAUACAAGCAGAAAUUGCCCCACAACUGAGGUGAUUCACUUCAUCCACAGCCUCCAUCCUCCUCUCCUGCUUGCAGAAUUCCAGUUUCCAAGCUGUCAGCCCCACUGCAUAAAGGAAGACGCUGGCUCAGUUUGUUAAGAACAUGCUGAACAUUUAUAGUAUAGAAUGAAAAAGUA